rnacentral:rRNA from 1 species
GACGAACGCUGGCGGCGUGCUUAACACAUGCAAGUCGAACGGAAAGGCCCUGCUUUUGUGGGGUGCUCGAGUGGCGAACGGGUGAGUAACACGUGAGUAACCUGCCCUUGACUUUGGGAUAACUUCAGGAAACUGGGGCUAAUACCGGAUAGGAGCUCCUGUUGCAUGGUGGGGGUUGGAAAGUUUCGGCGGUUGGGGAUGGACUCGCGGCUUAUCAGCUUGUUGGUGGGGUGGUGGCUUACCAAGGCUUUGACGGGUAGCCGGCCUGCGAGGGUGACCGGCCACAUUGGGACUGAGAUACGGCCCAGACUCCUACGGGAGGCAGCAGUGGGGAAUAUUGCACAAUGGGCGGAAGCCUGAUGCAGCAACGCCGCGUGCGAGAUGACGGCCUUCGGGUUGUAAACCGCUUUCGCCUGUGACGAAGCGUGAGUGACGGUAAUGGGUAAAGAAGCACCGGCUAACUACGUG